AUAAGUUAUGCUAGUCGGAAAGACAAGAAUCCUCAUGUGGGGUCUGUGUACUAUUAUGGACAAUUGAUAGAUAUUGUUAAGAUUUGAUAUUUCAAUGAGAAAAAACAUGUGUUGUUUAAGUGUGAUUGGAUUGACAACAUUCACGGGAAGAAAAAAGAUGUCUUCAAUUUCAUGUUGGUCAACUUCAAUCAUUUGUUGUACCGAGAUGAUCGAAUUACGAAUGAACCUUUCAUCUUGGCAUCCCAAGCAGAGCAAGUUUGGUAUGUUGCAGACCCAUUAAAACCAGACUGGCAAGUGGUGGUGAAGAUGUCUCAAAGAUGUUUAUUUGAUAUGAAUUCGACUGAUCCAAAAAUCGAGCCAUCUAUGAGCCAACAAUUGGAAGAAAAUAUAAUGCUCCGUGAUGAAGAAAUUGGUUGGGUAAAGGAAGCCGCAGAAGGAGAAACAGUUGAUGUUGAAAUAGACUGAUAUUUAAUCAACAUCAGUAAUUGAAUUAAGGCCAAGAUUAUUAUGGGAAGGAAGAAAAAGCCUGAUCAUUCCCUGCGCAUGAUGUCCGAUGUGGUACAUAAGAGGACAUCAAUAACACCACCAUCAGAGGAGGCAUCACAUCGACCACCAUCGGAGGGGCCAUUAGUGCCACCACCAUCUGACCAGCCACCGUAGCGACCACCAUCAGAGGGGCCACCGCAUCGACCACCAUCAGUGCACCACAACAGUUAUCAUCUACUUAGCCUCCACGCCUACCAUCGGUGCGUCCACCAUCAGUGGCACUGCAGUAGCUAUCAUCCCGACUAGAGUCAUCAUCUUCACAGCCAACUACAAACCCUUUGACUUCUUCACAGCCCACCUCAGGUCAUGUUAGUUCUUCAUCAACCUCAAUUAGGCAUGGUAGAGGAUGUGCCAAGGGCAUUAAGAAGUGGGGUACUAGUACAAAGUUGGAUAUACAAUUUGACAAAAAUCACUGCCCAAUAGGGGAUAAUAUGUCUAAGUUAACUACUCAACUUGGCAUUAUUGUACGCAACGGUAACAUUGUUCCUCUUACUUUUCUUGACUGGAUCACUAUGCCUGACGAUAUUAUUGAUGCUAUCUGGAAGGAUGUAAACGUAAAAGUAUAUUUUUGUCUAAAAAUUCAAAUUUUAAAAUUAUGUUAUUAUUAUUUAAACCUUCAAAUUGUGUUUUGUAGGACAAUUUGAAUAUAUGUCUAGAGGAGUAUAAGCCAAUCUACAUGAAAACCUACAACAGCAUAUGGAAGGAUCACAAGAAUAAGAUUAAGACCAAGUAUUUCAAGCCUAGAAGUUCUGAUCCCAAUUUGAAGGAUGAUGUUCCUUUUCACAUUGUACUAAGCCAAUAGGAAGAACUUGUGGAGUAUUGGUGUACUUCCGAUGCUAAGAAAAUUGUAACGAGGAACGCUAAAAAUCAGCGAGCUCACGGCAUACCUCAUACCACACUACUUUCGCUCAAAGCCGGCAUAAGAUGACCAGCAACGGGGAGUCUACUGAUAAAAUGAAUGUUUGGCUUAUGACACGUAGAACAAAUAACCUUAAGGUUAUCCAGACCUUGUUAGUUUCCAAACACCUAUCAUUGAAUUUAAAUUUUAUUUUUUAUUUUUUGUGUGUCAAUCAUCUUAAUUUAACAUAUGCUUGUAUUGCUUAUUUAAUACAAGAUGAGUUUAAUCGUCAACUUUUCAUGCUACCUGAGGAUUGCCGGACUUUAGAGGUUAGGAAUGCCAUUUGCCAUAAGUUGAUAGGUCAUGACGGGCAUGGAUAUUUUUGCUCUUAUGGGAGAACUAUGCCUCGGAGCGCAAUGUAUAAAGAUGGUGAUGGGCCAUCACAAUCAACACCCCAGCCAUCGACUAUUGUUCAGAUCACCCAGCAGGUUCAUGCAGAGCUAAAGGAUAAGUUAAGGGAGGAGCUGAGGGAGGAGAUACGAGCAGAGUUUUCUACACAUUUACAGCAGAUGAGAGCUAAGAUGAUGGCCUUUGUGUCACAAGGGGCAAGUGUGGAUCCCAACAAACAAGUUUGAUAUAAAUUAAAUUGUUUGAUAGUUACAUUUUCACGCAACAUAUAUAUACAUAUAUAUAGUAAAAUUCAAAUAUGAAUAAUACAUUAUGUAUGGAUUGUCAUAGGCUCCUGAUGCAUGCAGUGGCCAUCGGGUAUUUAGAGAAUCUGCAGGAGAUGAGACUCCAUAUACACCACCAGCAGAAGAUCAGAUAUUUCCCAAGUAGGAGUUUGCUUCUUGUGGAAUGCAUGUCUGUGAAGAAUACGACUAAUUUUUGUUUUUGUUACCCACGGAGAAUGAUGAGCAAAACUUGCAAUUUUGGUUUAUGUUAUUUUAAAUUAUGAACAACAGUAUGUAUUUAAACAUUAUAUAUGUAUUAUGGAACAUUAUGUAGUGGGUAAUUUUGUUGAUGUAUAGUUAUGAAUGC